rnacentral:rRNA from 1 species
UACGUAGGAGGCAAGCGUUGUCCGGAAUUACUGGGCGUAAAGCGCGUGUAGGUGGUGGGACAAGUCUGCUGUGAAAGCGCCUGGCUUAACCGGGCGAGGUCGGCGGAAACUGUCCGACUCGAGGACGGUAGAGGGGGGUGGAAUUCCCGGUGUAGUGGUGAAAUGCGUAGAGAUCGGGAGGAACACCUGUGGCGAAGGCGGCUCACUGGACCGGUGCUGACGCUGAUGCGCGAAAGCGUGGGGAGCAAACGGG